UAAUCAUGUAAGAUAAAAA
rnacentral:miRNA from 1 species